CUUGAUGAUUACCUGUUCUGUUCAUUCUCUGUGAAGCACCUGGCAUUGGCUACUGUUAGAAGACAGGAUAUUGGGCUAGAUGGACCAUUGGUCUGACCAAGUAUGGCCAUUCUUAUGAUACCUCAAGGCUUGGGAUAGGGAACUGUGAGGGAAAAUUAACAGGACAUAAAACUCAGGUCAAGGCCCUGACUUUGGUCAAGCUUACCUGCAGGCCGUAAACCGAGAUCCUGCUUGCUUAUGUGUGUCAAGGGGUAGGAGAAGUCAGAGUAGAAAGUCCCCAAAACGGAACAACGGUUUUCUGUGCAUAAGGGGCAUGAAGGGGCAGGAUGGAAAAGUCCCCAGGCAGAACAAAUUUGCAAUAGUCAAGUUUAUGACAUAUAUAAACGCAACAGUUGUAUUAGAAAGGUUGCUGACCACAAAAGAACAGACAGUGAAUAACAGGAAGGGCCUAGUGUGGGAGACGCUUGUUUUUGCUUUUGACCAGUGUUAAUUUUGCAAUGUAUUCGAAAUAAGAUAAUUAAUACGGAAGUAUGUGUAAUUUGUCUGUGGUUUUAAGCUUUAAAAAGCUGUGUGUGCUUUGCAUCUGGGGGCAGCUACUUAGAGCUGUUACCCCCCUGCGCUUGUAAUCAAUAAAGGAGCCUCAGGCUUGUUUUGAUCCAAACACAAUGCAUAGUUAAUUUUUCCACGCCAAUCUUGGUGCCGUGACUUGGAUAGACAGCCGACUCCCAGAACUGGAGGACUGCAAGCAGUUCCCCGCCAGACCCAGGGCCCAUCUGAAAGCUUUACGGAUCCAACACAAUCUCCACUGCCCCCACCACCCACAGUCUGCCGGGACAGUAAAACGUCAAAAUGGGAUUUUAAAAAAUAAACUGGCCAAGAUCUGUGCCAAAACAAAUUUGAAGUGGCCAAAUGACCUCCCAUUAGCAUUAAUGAAUAUGAGGGCCACUCCCAAUCAAAAGACUGGACUCAGCCCACAUGAAAUUCUAACAGGGCAUCCGAUGCAACUAUUGGCUGCGCCCACACUGGCCCUGGAUCAGAUGAACAGUCAUUUAAUGGAUGACACAAUGCUUAAUUAUUGUCAGGCACUAACGAAAUGUGUUAGGUCUUUUUUAUAUACAGCAGCCCUGCCACUCGCUGAAACCAGGAGACUGGAUCUACAUAGAGGUCCAUCAGCGAGGAACUGCCCUGACCCCAUGCUGAAAGACCCUUAUCAAGUCCUGUUAAUUAUCAACACUGCUAUGAAGUGCCAAGAAUUGACUACCUGCCAUGUUUCUCACUGUAAUGGCUCCCUGACUGAUGAUCGAUCUAUCUUUCCUUCUGGCGUUGUUGCUUCUUCUGGACAGCAGGAGUGAAGGACAAGGUGAAAAGCCGGUAACCUCUCCCUUAUCCACUGACAGAACUACUGUGCAUUUGGACUUUGCUAGAAGAACCAAACCAUUACAGGGUGAUGUGCUAGUAACCUCUCUCCUGCAUAAUGCUAAACCACAGCUGUUCCAAGAAAGAAAAAGGAACACUCGCUCUGCUGAAACCACCGAAGUACAGAGAUUCCUGACUACAAAAGAGGUUAAGAAUUGGCUCUGGUGGAAAAGAUGAAGUAUUGUUAAUUGGCAGGAAGAGAAUUGUGUGGACCGCGCUUGGAAAUGUGAAGUUGAGUGGUGGGUGGUUUUUUUCUGGGGGCUGGGCUUUGUGCUUAGUGACAAGUACCAUCAAAAUGCACUGCCCUCCCUAAUUGGCUUCCAAAGAAUAAAUACCGAAAACACCUUGCUGCCACUAACAUUACUCACACCAUUCCCUCCACCUCUGUCACCACCCCUUAAAUUUACCCGAAUACAGAUAAUACCAUAUAUUCUCAUGAAACCCAAUGGCCCAGGCCUUCACAUCUUAGUGAUUUACUAAAAUUUGUUCAGAAAAAAAUAUUUUUUUUCAGUUCAGAAUAAUUCAUAUGAGCAAACAAUUGAGUGGAAAACAAAUGGGUCGGUAAAAAUAGAAAUAUAUAAUAUUACUACAAAUGAGCCCCAGGAAUCAAAAAUUAAGAUUAAUGGGUUCUAUGACGGGGUAAAUAUGAUGGCAGCUCCUGAACUCCACAGUGUAUUGCCUCUCAGCCUAUCGUGAAGGUGUUUAGCCAAUAGAUGUGGUGUGAUACUUCACAGAGGAGAGAUGUGUUAGGACAUUGGUGGACUGUCAUUAAUGCUACAUUAGGGACCAUUAAAUUCACAUUGCCCUUAUCCAGUUUUUAAAUUAUUUCUACAUAUCCAAAUUGCUCUGAAGGGGCUGCCAUCAGGUUAGCACAGCAAAGGGCCUGGGUUUCCCCUAGAAAGAAAAGGGACUUGGCUGGACACCUUUGGGGUGGUGCAAAUAGCAUAGCGGCAAUCUGGAAUAUCCAUAAAGGUCAGCAACAUGAGGAAAAAUUGGGACAGUUGGAAAAAGCCACAGGCCUUAUUGCUGGAGCACAGCUAGCCCAGGUUCAGGCUGGUGUUGGUGAGUUAUAUGUUAUCUCCACCCUUAGUGCAAUGAUCCAGAAGCUUAUAAAAGAUAUGGUGUUUAAUAUUGCUGGGGCUGGGAAGGCAUUGCAGUGGGACCUGGCUUGUUCGGGAGAUCCAAGAUUUUCUAAAUAACCAGCUAAAGGACAUUUAGAAAGACCUCAAACAUCAGGGGUGGCCCUCUUCCCUUACAGCCACCUCGGGAGUACCAUCUGAUCUGUGGCCAGGGAGACAUACUUGAAGAUUCUCUGAGUGGAAAUGCAGACGUUCACAGUGUUCCUUCCAAGCAUAUGGGCCGGUCGGAGGGAUGUGGCUUCCACAUACUGAAUCCUGCUGGGUCAGUAGGGAGGAUGCAUGUGGUAUUGGGAAAUUCAUGAAGACAUUUGGGAAAUUAAACCACCUGGAAUGCCUAACCAAUUUAUAGUCAGUGCUCCUGAAAUAACAUCCGAUAUCUGGAUAGGAAUAGAAAAUCAAUGGACACUCUGGCCGCUAGAACCCCACAGCUUCAGUGUGUACAUAAACUGAAACCAGGGGAAAAGUUGUCACUGUUCAUGACAACAUUUCUUGGGAGGAUAUGGAACACGGGACUACCCUGACAGGAUAUCUACUUUUCCAAGCCAAUAAUAGCUGUGUGCAUGUUAAGACCACUUGAAUGAUGUACAUUGUAAUCUUACCACUGCUACAGGAAGCCAUAUCAUAUAUUGGCCUGCGGAUAAAAUUCUACAAUUAGCCUUUUGGUUUCAAAUACCCUUUAACUGGACUACUUUAGUACCUGAUCGAUUCCAAAAUUUGCUUUCAAUUCUACCAGAGAUUCAGAAAAUUUCGGACCUACAGGGACAGAUUCACAUAUUCCAAAAUAUAUAUCAAGUUGAAAAGAAUGCCUUUCAUACAGCCUAUAGGGAGUCUACCUUAUGUACUAAGUAUGACGCUUUGUGUUUUAUGACUAAGACUAUUCAGCAAUCCCAACCCCAUUGUUUUAUUGUCAUAGGAAUGUUAUUGUUUUUAUUACUGUUUGGUAUCGGGUUAUGUUAUUGUUGUUGUAGUAGAUGUGUUUCUCAUUGUCUGCCUGGUCCUAGACCUGUUAAGCUCAAUGUAAAGGAACAAGUGGCACUAAUGAUUGUCAAUAAACUCUAUGAUAACAGGAGGCAAGAGGCAGCAAUGAAUGUUUAUGAGGAAAUGCAGGUAAGAGGGGAAGAAGACGAGGAAAUGCAGGUAGUACGUGAGGAAGAGAGAGAGGAAAUUAAUAAAUUAAUGACCAUGGAGGUAUGAUAGAAUAAAGUGAGGCUGAAGAGGCCUCAAAUGGGGGAACUGUGAGGGAAAAUUAACAGGACAUAAAACUCAGGUCAAGGCCCUGACUUUGGUCAAGCUUACCUGCAGGCCGUAAACCGAGAUCCUGCUUGCUUAUGUGUGUCAAGGGGUAGGAGAAGUCACAGUGGAAAGUCCCCAAAAUGGAACAAUGGUUUUCUGUGCAUAAGGGGCAUGAAGGGGCAGGAUGGAAAAGUCUCCAGACAGAACAAAUUUGCAAUAGUCAAGUUUAUGACAUAUAUAACCACAACAGUUGUGUUAGAAAGGUUGCUGACUGCAAAAGAACAGACAGUGAAUAACAGGAAAGGCCUAGUGGGGGAGACGCUUGUUUUUGCUUUUGACCAGUGUUAAUUUUGCAAUGUAUUCGAAAUAAGAUAAUUAAUACGGAAGUAUGUGUAAUUUGUCUGUGGUUUUAAGCUUUAAAAAGCUGUGUGUGCUUUGCAUCGGGGGCAGCUACUUAGAGCUGUUACCCCCCUGCGCUUGUAAUCAAUAAAGGAAUAUGUUGCUGUAUUAUCUCCUGAUUUUUCUAAAUUUACAUAUAAACUUAAAAUAUGGCUUUAA